rnacentral:rRNA from 1 species
GACGAACGCUGGCGGCGUGCUUAACACAUGCAAGUCGAACGGACAGGCGCUGCGUUUGUGGGGUUCUCGAGUGGCGAACGGGUGAGUAACACGUGUGUAACCUGCCCUUGACUUUGUGAUAACUUCUGGAAACUGGGGCUAAUACCGGAUAUGAGCUCCUGCUGCACGUGGGGGGAAGGAAAGUUUCGGCGUUGGUGGAUCGACUCGCGGCUUAUCAGCUGGUUGGUGGGGUAGUUGCUUACCAGGGCUUUGACGGCUAGCCGGCCUGGGAGGCUGAACGGCCACAUUGGGACUGAGAUAGGGCCCAGACUGCAACGGGAGGCAGCAGUGGGGAAUAUUGCACAAUGGGCGGAAGCCUGAUGCAGCAGCGCCGGGUGCGGGAUACCGGCCUUCGGGUUGUAAACCGCUUUCGCAUGUGACGAAGCGUGAGUGACGGUACUGGGUAAAGAAGCACCGGCUAACUACGUG